CCGUCCCAGGGCCCGGCUUUCCCUGAAGAGCCCCAGGGUGUGAGUUAGUCCACGUCCCUCUGGUUGCAGCCGCUCUUCUCCGGCGGCCCCUGCCCGCCCGACCCUCAGAGGCUGCUCGGGGAACAGAGGGCGCUGCUGGUGCGGGCCAUGGGCGGGCGAGGCCGGGUGACAAGUCCCACCCCUUGGAGCUGGGAGCCACGUGUCCCCAGUGAGACGAGGCUGCACGGUGGCCGCGCGGGGGGACACGAGGCCCUCCUGCCUCCGACCCUGGCCGUGCGGCGCUCCCGGGGCGCUGACGGAGGCCUCACCUGACACGGGGGUGACCUGUGGACGCUGCUGGCUGCCCCCCAAACCUCACGGUCACAGUCGGCCUGGAGGGGAGCAGGAGAGGCUGAGACAGACAGGAAAGCGCACCCCGAGCUUCGACAGCCCGGGGAGCCCCCAGAUCCACCAGAGCUCUCCCUGCUGGGGGCGGGAAACGGCCCGGGGAAGGCGCCAGGGGUCACACGGCCAGUUGGCGCCCAGGACUCCGCGCGGGCUCCGAGGGUCGGCGUCCCCGUGCCACGGUGUCAGGGCGAGUCUCCGGCUGCCAAGCUGUCGGUGACCGGUGACCGUCGCUGCAGAUCAAGGAACAAAAAUUGUAUUUACGCUCCUGGCAAGCAGCUGAUUUUCCUGAUCGCCCACCCGGCUGCACACGGCUCCACAGCGUCGGGUGGGGAGCGACUCCUUGUCCCUGAGACUGUGAACCGCAGAGAGAGGCCGUCUGGGGCCGGGAACCCCCUGCCCCCCACAAGCCCUCCUGGCCUCCCUCCGGCCUCCUGUCCCUGCUUCUCUCCCGUCACUUGCUCUUCCCGGCACCGGGUCUCCAGUGUCUUUGCCUGCCCUGUCCCCACCGACUCCUGGCGUGCCCCCCGGGAGGCCACUUAGCGGUACAGACAAGCUCACUGCCCGAGCCCUGGGUCAGCCCUGACCUGCAGCAGCAGAGGAUGAUGGCUCCAGCCCCACCCCUGGGACUCCUCACCGAUUCCUGAACCAUAAGCUUCAUCUGCUGGGCCAGACAUCUUGUAUUUGCUAUCACCGCUCUCCCCCGCCCCCCAACCCAGCCCUCCCUGCAUUCAGCAGGUGCUCACUGAGCUCCUGCCCUGCAUCUGACAAUGCUCCGGCAUCUGGGAUACAGCAGAAAACAAAGCAGACAAAGUCGCUGCCUUCUUGCUGCUGAUAUUUCCUCGAAAGAGACAGACGAGAGGCACCUGGGUGGCUCAGUUAGUUAAGCAUCUGCCUUUGUCUCAGGUUAUGAUCCCAGGGUCCUGGGAUUGAACCCCUCAUAGGGCACCCUGCUCAGCAAGGAGCUGGCUUCUCCCUCUCUCUCUGCUACUCCCCUGGCUUAUUCUCUCUCUCUGUGUGUGUCAAAUAAAUACAUAAAAUCUUUUUUAAAAAACCA
rnacentral:lncRNA from 12 species